rnacentral:rRNA from 1 species
UAGAUACCCUGUUACUUAUAUUAAAAAUAUUUUGGAAUAGUAAUAUUUAGGAAAUUUAACGGAUUUGGCGGCAAGAUAGCCAUUUAGAGGAACCUGCCCUAUAAACGAUGAUCCACGAUUAAACUCUACUUUUAUUUGUAUUUCAGUUUGUAUACCGCUGUUGUCAGUCAGUUUCCUUAGAAAACUUUCAUUCAUGAUAGAAUCAUUGACUUCAAGUAAAGGUGCAGCUUAUAUAA